rnacentral:lncRNA from 1 species
CCUAAAAACCACCGCAUAACCCUCUUCAGGCGCAGGUACCGUCUGACCCGCAGGAGGAGCCUUCGCUCGACCUUCCUUAAAAAACCUAGCCUCGACCAUAUCGGCAAUAUCCUCCUCCCUCAUAGUAGACUCACCAAAUUCAAAGGUAAUCGCCGCCAUCUCCUCAAACUCCUUCGCACUAAUCAAGUCACCAACAGAAGCUUCGACGUCAGAUAACGUCUCCUCCAGAUCUUUAGCCGCAGCCACCUCAAGCAUCCAGUCUUCAAACCUCCGCAACCAACCACCAGACCUCACGCUAAGAAAAUUACGCAAAGGACCAGAAAAAUCUGACCUUAAAGGGCGCGGCGAAGGAAAAUGAGCCACCUUAUAUCCUCCGCAAACACUUGAGAGCUAUACGCAACUAAAGCAAAUGCGAGUUGGCGAAGGAAGGAACGCAAACAGCAGGCAGCAAGGGUGAGACCCAAGAGCCUCCCCCAUGCCCCUUUUAUAGGGGGGGUGCCUGCGGCAACGUGACCGUUGCGAUUCCCCGCGCCCAACGGCUAUAAGCGGAGGAAUCGGCCUGACCGUUGCGCUUCGUCAAUGCCAACGGCUAACUCCAACGGCUAUAAUAUCCUGCGCAUCCUAACACGCGAAGGAUAUCAGACUAUCAGAACAACAAUGAUCGUAGGAUCCUGGCAAAGCAAAAUUACAAAAAAAAAAAUAAGUAAAACAAAAAUUUUUCCAAUUACGCUAACAAACACAUCCUGCGCACCAGGGGGGAAGGCAGCAACCAUGCCCGCAGCCUCCGCAGCGUGACAUGUUUUUGAGCACAUGGACCGCAGGAGUGCCAUUAGCCCAAAAAGGGGGGAACUGUUGGGGGAUGGCUGCAUCCUUCCCCCUGGUAACGUCUAAGGAUGCCCUUCACCCGAAGAACCUCCGAUCUCUAGGGCGUCGGAGGAUAUCCUCCGCCCAGAGAACCUCCGUGGGGGAGCAUGCGGAGGAUCCUGGAAAAAGGCUAACGUUGAUGACUCGUCUUGUCGUACUAAGUGUGUGCAGGAACAAACAAUCGGCGAAGGCCCUCAAGCGGAGAAAGGUGGAACCUCCGAUCCUCCCAAGUCCGAGGAUGGCUGAGGACGCGGCGGAGGUAAGAAACCUCCGACGCGCCCAGCCUGGGGGGACCUCCGAUGAAGAACCGUCGAAGGAUCGGCAACCGAGCGAGCCGAGGAACCUCCGGGACAGCCGAGCUGAGGGACCCCGACGCGCCUGAGCCAAGGAACCUCCGGCACCUGAAGUGCCGAAGGAUACGCGACCGGGCGGAGGAUCCAAGCCUCCGACAGGCUGAGACCCUAGACAGGGGACACGUGCAGGGUUUGUAAUGCGAAAUUACACGAGUGACUUGGAGUCGGUAGACUGUAAUUGGAGAAUAUGCUAGGAUAUUCCCCCACCGUCACGGGGCGUUUUUGUAAAUGUCACUAGGUCGGUUUCUGAGCCCUAUAUAAAGGGUGAUGCCGUUAUUAAUAAAGAGAGAGAGAGCAUUCACUGUAUUCACCGACCGUUGAGCUUACUGUCUGUCAGCGCUCGAACUUCUCACGGCUCCGAGUGAGAAGGUUCUCGAUCCACCGUAUUGCUGGGGAGUGCAGAGAGCAUUUUCCCAACAGUUUCUUGUUUCGGUAAAAGGUCAGGCCUAAGCGUUUACAACAGAUGGCUUGAGAAGUGUCUUGUGUAUCAAUGUCCCAUCUAUUGUGGAGACCAUAAGAAGUGUCUUCGCUAGGUUUACAUCAUCAUUGUUCUCCUAAGCAUAUUGAAAGUAUCGACAUGAGCUAGCACCAAAUUCUUGUUUAUAUCAUUAUGCUAACAUCGAAAUAAGCUCACCUUGUAUUCAAUGGUUGUAUCCUUAGCUGGUGUUGGUAAUAUUAACUUGACAUUUGUUUUAGCUAGACACUUAUUUAGGCCUUGUUUAGUUCACCCUGAAAACCAAAAAGUUUUCAAGAUUCUCCGUCACAUCGAAUCUCGUGGCACAUGCAUGAAACAUUAAAUAUAAAUGAAAACAAAAACUAAUUACACAGUUUAGCUGUAAAUCACGAGAUAAAUUUUUUGAUCCUAGUUAGUCCAUGAUUGAAUAAUAUUUGUCAGAAACAACGAAAGUGCUACAGUACCGAAAACUUCACACUUUUCGUAACUAAACAAGGCCUUACUACCUACAUUUUUUAGUAUUGUACUCUCUCGAAUUCCUAGAGUUGUCCUAAGUCAAACUUUUCAAACUUUGACCAAAUUUCUAGAAAAAAGUACUAAGAUUUUUUUUGGAUGGAGGGAUCCCUAGUAAUAUUGCCAGAAAUGCUUGUUGGCCCUACCUAUCUCAUUAUUUCAUAUGACUAGAAUGAAUAUAAAGAUAUGAAUGAAAAGUAACUCGCUAGCACACAGAUAAUUAUACCUGUUGUAGCAUUUUAUCGGGAGUAAUACCUGUUGUAGUUACAUUCUACCAAAGGGAGGAGCUAUGGGAUUGGCAAGAGGUAAAUUAAUCAAAGUAUAUACUUAUGAUAAAAAUCAAUCACAUAGGACAUGUCUUAACAGGGGUAACCUAUAUAGACACAUACGAAGUAACUUAUUCUGUAGCCACCUUGAUUUAUGAUAAUUACUAUAUGUUAAUUUAUGAGAUUAUAUUAACACCUUACUAAGUGGUUGACGUUACGGUAAAUAUGUGUUAUAGAUAUUAUCGCAAAUUAGUAUAUAAAAUUAUCAUAAAUAAAAGUAGCUACAAAACAACUUAUUUUGUAGCUAGCUACUGAAUAUAUUGGCCAGUUAUUUGGACAUAGAAUAUUUUGGUCGAUCAGCGAAGGCAUCGCAUCGUAGCAACAUAUCGAAGUCGGCUUGCCUGAAAUAUCACGUAAAGCAACAAAGAAAAUAGAAGUUACAUGUAAGCAAGCAAACGAUCGUUGGUUUCUUGUUUCGGUAAAAGGACAGGCCUAAGCGUUUACAACAGAUGGCUUGAGACGUACUUAUAAGGCACAUAGAAGAAGAAAAGAGAAGUCACAAAGAUGUAGGAUCAGGGCAAAACAAAGAUGCAGGAUCAGGGCAAAGUAAAUUCAUCUACGACGCUAAGAGUCCAAAAAAGAAUUGCUAAUUUAAUCUUGCAUACAAGUUUAUUUGUUUGAAGGAGAAAUCAGGACACAUGACUGUGACGUGUUCUUUUGCUAUUCUGUGAUCGAAACAAAACUUUGUAUCACCUCGUACAUAUGCUAUGACACUUACAUUUGGCUUAGCGUCAUGUUUUACGGAAAUAUGGGAUAUACCAAAAUUUGAUAUGUUAAUAUAUGACCUUGUUUAGAUCCAAGGUUUUUUUUAUUUAGACACUGUAACAUUUUUGUUUGUAUUUGAUAAUUAUUGUCUACUCAUGGACUAACUAGCCUCAAAUCAUUCAACUCGCAAAUUAUAGAUAAACUGUGAAAUUAGUUAUUUUUUAUCUAUAUUUAUGCUCCAUGUGUGUGCCGUAAAAUUCGAUGUGAUGGAGAAUCUUGAAAAGUUUUUGGUUUUUGAUGCAACUAAACGAGGCCUUAGCCAUUGGCUGUUAUAUAUAUUGCUAAUAUAUUUUGGCCGGUUAUUGGAUAUAGAAUAUUCGGGUGGAUCGGCCCAUGCGUACCACAACAACGUGUUGAAGUCGGCUUGACUGAAAUAUCACGUAAAGCAAACAAAGAAAAUAUAGGUCAUGUAAACAAGGAAGAUACAAUUGUUGGUUUCGUGUUUCGGUAAAAGGAGAAGCCCAAGCGUAUAGUGGCUUGAGACAAUACUUAUAUGGCAUAUAGAAGGAGAAUGGAGAAGUCACAAGGAUGCAGGAUCAGGGCAAAGUAAAUUCGUCUACGACGCAAGGGGUCACUACUCCAGAUCAGCACAUCAUUGAUGGUUCCAAACCCCCCCGCUGCUAGAGUUUUAACUGGCAGCCGGCACUGAUGUGGGGUUCUCAUCACUGCAGGAUACAAGAACCGCCAGUGAUAAACUGCAAGACUGUCAGUUCAUAGCUCAACCUGGCAUUGCCAUUUGAGACAACACUACCAAUUUGUGCCUAAGCCGACAGUGAAGCUUCAUUCAACACUACCGGCUUGUGCCAUGAGCUAGCUGACAGUGAUGCUCAAGCUAACACUAUCAGCUUGUGGCUCUAGCCGACAGUAAUGCUCAAGACAACACUACUGGCUCGUAGCUCUAGCCGACGGUGAUGCUCAAGACAACACUGCUGGCUCGUAGCUCCAACCGACAGUGAUGCUCAGACCAUCACUACCGGUUUGACGCUCGACCUAGCAGUGCUGGCUUGUGGCUCGAGCCAAUAGUGAUGCUCACGACAACAAUGCCGGUAAUGAUUGUUUCAGCAAUAUUGUCGGCCAGUAGGUCAAGCCGGCAGUAUUGUUGAAGACAUCACUGGCAGCUUGGAUAUAGCCGACAGUGAUCUUUUUUUUUGCAUUUUAUUGCUUUAUAUAAUUUUUUUUAUUUUCUGUGAAAUCAGGUUUCGCUUUAUAUUCAUUACAUAGAUGAUAGGUCCAUCAACAUUAAACAUUACAAAUAUUACAAUUACAAUUCAAAUGUACUUAUGAAAGCGGAGCCUCGCAAGAAUCCUGCGCAGGUCCUCCGCUAGAGACCUGCGCAGGAUAAAAGCGUAAAACAGACAUUUAUCCAAAAACAACCCGAUAUAUUACAUUACCAGCAAAAUAUUUACAGUUGAAGUCAAGACCUUCGACUUACAAAAAAAAAAGCGUCGCAUGCGCAGCAGACGCAAAAAAAACUGAAAAACCUACAAACUAUAUAACCUCACACCUGAGGCGGCGGAGGAGCAGGAGCUUCGGGUUGCUCUGAGGCCUUGGCAACAGAUUCCUCAGGAGCUUUAGCACUUGCGUCACGAACCUCCGCCUCAGCCUGAGUCGAAGGACGCGCUUCGCUAGCAGGACGCGAAGGACCGGGCUUAUCAACCUUAGCCGCCCUCUUGGCAUUCUCCUGCAAAUCAACAAGCUUAAAAAACAUUGCAAAGAAGCCUAAACCCUAAACAUAAUACAAAAAGAAUACCUCAGCGCGACGAGCCUCCGCCAUCUUCUUCGCCUCAGCCCGCCCAAACCUAAUCCAGAACGAACUAAUGAAGUUCCGGACAGACUUGCGCAGGCUCGAGGUGCCCUCGCCAACAUCCUCCGCCGACGCGAACUCUUCCUUAGCAACUCCCUCCGCAUGGGAACAACCUCCGCGGCGCAGCAGCCUGGCGAAGGAGCUAACCGCAGCCAAAGCCCCAAAAUCAACAGCUCCACCAACAAAGUCAGGGAGCAUGCGGAUAUGGGACUUCAACCAUGCAAGGCUAGCACAAACGUCUCCGCCAGGCGGAGGAGCAGAGGUGCUACCUCCGAACUGUGCCAGCGAGCUGGUAUAGAGCCCCACGACAUCCGCAGCCUCCGCCUCCGCCUUCUGCAUACGAGUCUGCAUCGCAGCCGCAGACUCGCGCUCAGCGUCAAGCUCCUUGCGGAGGCGGUCAGCAAUGUCCUCCGCCUUCUCAGCUCGCUGCAAGGCCAAGUCCCUGGCACUCUCCGCUUCAGUGGCACUCGUGCGGAGGACAGCAACCGAAGCCUCGGCAUCUUCCUUCUCUCUCUUCAAAACCUCCGACCCAGCCUUGUAAUCAUCCCUCUCCUUAGUCAGAGACUCAAUUUCCUGUCGGGCAGAAGAAAGCUCCUUAACAUCCUCCGACAGGCGAGCCUUCUCGGCCUCUAAAUUUUCGUUUUCCUUCUUAAGAGCACCAAUAGCCUCGUCCCGGCAAAUAAUCUCCCGGGAGCAGUGCUCCUCCAAGGCUGCAGCCAUGUGGUGACUCUGCAAAACGCAAAAAAUCAAACCUUCGAACAAAAAACGCGAAGGAAAAACACACAAUUGGAAAACUUACAAGGCUAUGGUGCUCAAAUUGCACGCGAAGGAAGGCGUCAAAGUCCAUAUGACGGAGCUUCUGACGGAGACGAUCUAGAUAGCAAAAGAGGUAAGGAAAAAUAUAAGUAAAUUAAAGAAAAAUCAUCAACAACGGAGGCCAGAAACGAACCUCCGACCAAAGAAUGAACCUCGCGCAGUGCAUCGGUCCAACCUGUGAUCGAAGGAUCAGAAGCACCUGCGCAAAAAGAAUAGUAAAUCAACACAAACCAAAAUAAACCAAAUCAUUAAAACAAAAGCAAUAUCAUCUAACCAGGACCCAUAACAUUAGCAGGCGAAGGCCUACUAGCCAGCGCAGACGGCGCAGGAACCCUAGGCGGAGGAACUUCAAGACCUUCCCGUGCUAUGCUAGCACCCUUAGCCAGUUCCUCCGCAGUGGCCAACCCUGCGACCACAUCCUCUAAAAAACAUAAAAUGAUAUAAGACCGCGAUAACAGAAACAAGCAUAAAAAUCAAAAAUAACAAUGAGGAAACAAACCUAUGUACAGCGAAUUUAUGCCAUCUUCGGCCGGGCGCGGGGAAGCCUCCGCCCUCUUUAUCCUCCGAACAGAGGCGGACUCUGCUUCAUCACUGGACGACUCCUGCAUAUCCUUUGGCAGAAAUCCACCACCAGCAGAUACCUCCCGCGCAGGGCUCGCCUCCCGUGCAGAACUCGCUCUAGGAGCCUCCGCGUCGGAGGAAUCCUCACCAAGAAGCGACGCAAAAGGCGCCCGCACAGACGAGGCCGCACGGGAAGCUUGAACCUCGGGACCUCCGCCAUCAGCAAUGGCCUCCGCAGGAGCAGAAGCCACCGAGUUCGACUCGGCAGCAGAAGAUCGCGCGGAGGAAGACUCCACAGGAUUCUCUAGCACAACCUCCGCCUUGCGCUUCUUCGCAAGCUGCUUAACAGCACCACCCCCUUCCUCUUCCUAGCCUCCGCCGCAGCAACGGCCUUGGAGGAAUCCUUCUUCUUCUCCAAUCCCAACAAAACAUCCGGAGGAAUAACAUAAUCCUCAUACUCAAUCCCCAAUUCCUCAAACACUCGGUUGAAGCGAGGCAUCGUACCAAGCGCAGACCUCCGCUGGAGAUACUCCUUCUCCGAGAUCUUCCCGACGAUCCUCCGAGCAGAAACCUCCACGCGGUCAAGGAAGGACUCUUUUGUCUCAUCCUCAGGCAAUCCCGCUCCAAACCGGGGAAACAGCAACCCCUCCGGAGGGCCAAAGACCGGCACUUGCACCAUCUCAAUGGUGAAUUCGUCAGUCCUGCGGCCAAGGGGCCAGUAAUCAGCUGCGACCAUCUCCUCAACUAAAUCCCGACCUCCGGAGUAUCGACAGGCUACAGCAAAGGCCUUGUCGCAGGCCAGUCGCGCCUCCAGCUGCUCCUCCGACACUGGAUUCGAAGGAUCAACCUUGUGAAUAGGCCUAAGCAACUUCAUCUCAGAGGCAUAAGGAUAAACCUUAUCAACACUGCCGUCCUCCAGAGUCCUCGACGCGGCGGGGGUCUUCACGUAGAACCAGGCCCUCAUCCAAUCCUUCUCCCACUUGCCCUUCUGGCAGUAGGAAAUCUCGCACCUAGACCCAGGCAUUGUGCGGCGCGGCAUGAACGCGCAGCUUCCAAACUGCGCUAUAUGCUCAACUCCAUCGGCACCCUUCACCUUUUUUGGCUGGCGCUGGAGUUCAAAAUACGAACAGAAAGUAUCUACGUGAGGCACAGCUCCGUAUGAUUCACACGCCCAGGCAAAUUUGCUAAGGGUCAGUAUCCCAUUGGGACUGAAAUGCUGUAGCUCCACAUUGAAACUCUCCAUCACUUCGCGAAGGAAAUGAUACGGAGGCAUCCGAAGUCCGCAGGUGAAGAAAUCCCUAAAAACCACCGCAUAACCCUCUUCAGGCGCAGGUACCGUCUGACCCGCAGGAGGAGCCUUCGCUCGACCUUCCUUAAAAAACCUAGCCUCGACCAUAUCGGCAAUAUCCUCCUCCCUCACAGUAGACUCACCAAAUUCAAAGGUAAUCGCCGCCAUCUCCUCAAACUCCUUCGCACUAAUCAAGUCACCAACAGAAGCUUCGACGUCAGAUAACGUCUCCUCCAGAUCUUUAGCCGCAGCCACCUCAAGCAUCCAGUCUUCAAACCUCCGCAACCAACCACCAGACCUCACGCUAAGAAAAUUACGCAAAGGACCAGAAAAAUCUGACCUUAAAGGGCGCGGCGAAGGAAAAUGAGCCACCUUAUAUCCUCCGCAAACACUUGAGAGCUAUACGCAACUAAAGCAAAUGCGAGUUGGCGAAGGAAGGAACGCAAACAGCAGGCAGCAAGGGUGAGACCCAAGAGCCUCCCCCAUGCCCCUUUUAUAGGGGGGGGUGCCUGCGGCAACGUGACCGUUGCGAUUCCCCGCGCCCAACGGCUAUAAGCGGAGGAAUCGGCCUGACCGUUGCGCUUCGUCAAUGCCAACGGCUAACUCCAACGGCUAUAAUAUCCUGCGCAUCCUAACACGCGAAGGAUAUCAGACUAUCAGAACAACAAUGAUCGUAGGAUCCUGGCAAAGCAAAAUUACAAAAAAAAAUAAGUAAAACAAAAAUUUUUCCAAUUACGCUAACAAACACAUCCUGCGCACCAGGGGGGAAGGCAGCAACCAUGCCCGCAGCCUCCGCAGCGUGACAUGUUUUUGAGCACAUGGACCGCAGGAGUGCCAUUAGCCCAAAAAGGGGGAAACUGUUGGGGGAUGGCUGCAUCCUUCCCCCUGGUAACGUCUAAGGAUGCCCUUCACCCGAAGAACCUCCGAUCUCUAGGGCGUCGGAGGAUAUCCUCCGCCCAGAGAACCUCCGUGGGGGAGCAUGCGGAGGAUCCUGGAAAAAGGCUAACGUUGAUGACUCGUCUUGUCGUACUAAGUGUGUGCAGGAACAA